UUGUAUUGUGGCUGGGCUAUCAAGAAAAAUUGGUUUUUCCGGAAUACAAAAUCCUUGAGUUAAGAGAGUUUAAAUCUUCAUUCAAAGUUCAUGCACACUCUCUUUUUAACCAAUCUCACUCAUUCCCAACUUUUUCCCUUUUUCCUUUUACAUUGUUCAUUGAGUUCACUUUACAUGUUUUUCUCUUUUCUUCUUUUCUUUCCUUUCUCAUGUAUUUUUUUUUUUCAUCUUUUGAACUCAAUGCUUUCCUUUUUCUUUUGCCUUUCACUUUCCCCAUUCAACCCCAAACUUGAACCUUUUCAUCACAUAUAAUUAU
rnacentral:lncRNA from 1 species